UUCAACGGCCGCGUAUCCUAACCGUGCAAAGGUAGCGUAAUCACUUGUCCUCUAAAUAAGGACCCGUAUGAAUGGCUAAAUGAGGACUAAUCUGUCUCCUUUAAAAAAUCAGUGAAACUGAUCUACCAGUACAAAAGCUGGUAUGCCCCCAUAAGACGAGAAGACCCUGUGGAGCUUUAAAUUUAAAGCCAAAAACAACAAAACACAGCACACCCAUGGCCAAAAUUUUAAGUUGGGGCGACUUCGGAACAAAACAAAACUUCCGAGCAUAAAGAACACCAUCUUACCAAGACCCACAAGUCAAAGCAAAACUUGACCCAGUAANACUGACUACCGAACCAAGUUACCCCAGGNAUAACAGCGCAAUCUUCUUCAAGAGUCCANAUCGACAAGAAGGCUUACGACCUCGAUGUUGGAUCAGGACACCCAAAUGGUGCAGCCGCUAUUAAAGGUUC
rnacentral:rRNA from 1 species